GCCGUCGUGGCCCGUGGAGGCCGCCCCUACCCAAUAGGCUUUCCUUGUUGAUCUUCAAAACUUGAAGGGGAGCCGGUGGUUCGAUUCCACCCGACGGCA